AUGAGCUCCGGAGCUGCUGCAGCCACGUACGCACGAAUGCCGCCGCAGCCGCAAACAAAAACAGCAGCGGCGGCAGGAGGAGGUCGGAUCGCGCACCGCACCCGGGACAGCUGCGUGGCCGUCUUCUGCAGCAGGCUCUGCUCCCUCCUCCUCGCCGUCAUCCUCGUGGCCGGCGUGGCGCUCUUCGUCGCCUGGCUCAGCCUCCGCCCACACCGCCCGCGCUUCGCCCUCGCCUCCUUCUCCCUCUCCGGCACGCAGGCCGCCUUCAAGGUGUCGGACCGCAACCCCAACCGCCACAUCGGCAUCUACUACGACGGCGCCACGCGUGCCUCCCUCCGCUUCUACGACGCGCUCGUCGCCUCCGGCCCGGCCUUCCCCGCCGGCUGGUACCAGCCCAACAUGACCACCAUCUCCAUCGCCGACCCCGCCGCCUGGCACUCCUUCUCCGCAGCGCUCCACGCCGGGCGCCUCCCGCUGCGCCUGGACAGCGUGUUCUACUUCCACUCCGGGCGGCAGAGGAUGCAUGUCAAGUGCGACCUGCUCGUGGGCGCCGACGGCAACCUGCUCAGCGAAUCCGUGGGGGCAUCCUGCGACAGAUACUUGUGA
rnacentral:rRNA from 1 species